GAUGAACGCUGGCGGCGUGCCUAAUACAUGCAAGUCGAGCGAACAGACGAGGAGCUUGCUCCUCUGACGUUAGCGGCGGACGGGUGCGUAACACGUGGAUAACCUACCUAUAAGACUGGGAUAACUUCGGGAAACCGGAGCUAAUACCGGAUAACAUGUUGAACCGCAUGGUUCAACAGUGAAAGACGGUUUUGCUGUCACUUAUAGAUGGAUCCGCGUCGCAUUAGCUAGUUGGUAAGGUAACGGCUUACCAAGGCAACGAUGCGUAGCCGACCUGAGAGGGUGAUCGGCCACACUGGAACUGAGACACGGUCCAGACUCCUACGGGAGGCAGCAGUAGGGAAUCUUCCGCAAUGGGCGAAAGCCUGACGGAGCAACGCCGCGUGAGUGAAGAAGGUCUUCGGAUCGUAAAACUCUGUUAUUAGGGAAGAACAAAUGUGUAAGUAACUAUGCACGUCUUGACGGUACCUAAUCAGAAAGCCACGGCUAACUACGUG
rnacentral:rRNA from 1 species